GCCAGCAUGGUGUAGUGGUUUGAGCACUGGACUAUGACUCUGGAGACUAGGGUUUGAAUCCCCCGCUUGGCC
rnacentral:tRNA from 1 species